rnacentral:rRNA from 1 species
CCUACUGGUGACAUCAUUAGGGCAUUUUCGGCAAUGGGGGGAACCCUGACCGACCAACGCCGCGUGAACUCCUCCUUUCUUCUUCCUUUCCCUUUCUUUUCCCCUUUCCUCCCGAGAAAUUUGACGGUACCUGAAGAAUAAGCUCCGGCUAACUACGUGCCAGCAGCCGCGGUAAUACGUAGGGAGCGAGCGUUAUCCGGAAUUAUUGGGCGUAAAGGGUGCGUAGAUGGCAUAGUAAGUCUUUUGUAAAAAUGCUGGGCUCAACCCAGUAGGGCAAAAGAUACUGCAAAGCUAGAGUAUGACAGAGGCAAGUGGAACUACAUGUGUAGCGGUAAAAUGCGUAAAUAUAUGUAAGAACACCAGUGGCGAAGGCGGCUUGCUGGGUCGAUACUGACAUUGAGGCACGAAAGCGUGGGGAGCAAACAGGAUUAGAUACCCCUGUAGUC